UGCAACUUAGUUUAACUAGAAUUAUCAACUUGCACUUGAUGGGAGAGAUAUCUCAGUAGCGG
rnacentral:tRNA from 1 species